GAUGAACGCUGGCGGCGUGCCUAAUACAUGCAAGUCGAGCGAACAGACGAGGAGCUUGCUCCUCUGACGUUAGCGGCGGACGGGUGAGUAACACGUGGAUAACCUACCUAUAAGACUGGGAUAACUUCGGGAAACCGGAGCUAAUACCGGAUAAUAUAUUGAACCGCAUGGUUCAAUAGUGAAAGACGGUUUUGCUGUCACUUAUAGAUGGAUCCGCGCCGCAUUAGCUAGUUGGUAAGGUAACGGCUUACCAAGGCAACGAUGCGUAGCCGACCUGAGAGGGUGAUCGGCCACACUGGAACUGAGACACGGUCCAGACUCCUACGGGAGGCAGCAGUAGGGAAUCUUCCGCAAUGGGCGAAAGCCUGACGGAGCAACGCCGCGUGAGUGAUGAAGGUCUUCGGAUCGUAAAACUCUGUUAUUAGGGAAGAACAAAUGUGUAAGUAACUAUGCACGUCUUGACGGUACCUAAUCAGAAGCCACGGCUAACUACGUG
rnacentral:rRNA from 1 species